UACGGGGGGAGCAAGCGUUGUUCGGAUUUACUGGGCGUAAAGGGCGCGUAGGCGGUCAGCACAAGUCAGUUGUGAAAUCUCCGGGCUUAACUCGGAAAGGUUAACUGAUACUGUGCGACUAGAGUGCGGAAGGGGCAACUGGAAUUCUCGGUGUAGCGGUGAAAUGCGUAGAUAUCGAGAGGAACACCUGCGGCGAAGGCGGGUUGCUGGGCCGACACUGACGCUGAUGCGCGAAAGCCAGGGGAGCAAACGGG
rnacentral:rRNA from 1 species